UUUCUUGGACUUGGGGGCUGGGGGGGGAGGGUGGGGUGGGAAGAACAUGUUCAGACACCAUCACCUCCUUCCUCACAUCCUCACUAAACAUGCAGAACAUGCCUGGACAGCCUAGAAGGAGGACUUGAGCCUGUGUGCAAAGGCUUCCACCCACGAAACUGAGUUCCCUUUAACACCCUGGUCUUCAUGAAGAACUAGAGUCUGAAGUACUUAUAAACCAGACCCUUGAGGCACCUGAGUGGCUCAGUGGUUGAGUGUCUGCCUUUGGCUCAGGUCAUGAUCCCGGGGUCCUGAGAUCGAGUUCCGCAUCAGGUUCCCCGCAGGAAGCCUGCUUCUCCCUCUGCCUGUGUCUCUGCCUCUGUGUGUCUCUUACGAAUAAAUAAAUAAAACCUUUUAAAAAAAUAACAGACCAGACCCUUUAUUGCUAUACUUUUGUGAAAUUGGGAACUUGAUAGCAGAUGGAGCCAAGGGCCCCAAAGGUAUUUUGUCGGAGUUACACAAAUGUCUACAGACAGCCAAGGUAGAAAGAACUCACAAGAAGGAAAAGAAACUGGUCAAGCAUUCAGUGAGAAGAGGUAGGAAGAAGACGGGCAAUCUGGAGGCGGCUUCUCACUGUGGCCCGGGUUCGAAUGCUGGCUUUUCCCUUUACCCUCCGGGGACUCUGGAGCAAGUUACUGAAUCUCUGUGCACCAGAAUUGCCUCCUCAGAUUACAGUAGCCCAUACAUGCCCCAUAGGGUUUCAAAUUUUUCUCAGGAAUCUCACUAAUGGGCUGGGCACUCUUGUGAAAUUCAGUAGUGACCAAAAUAGACAAAGUUCAGACUUUCAUUUAGUGGGAGUUGAUCUACUAAGACGAGAGAACCACUUGGAAGCGAUGCCUUGCACACAGUACAUGGCCAACAAAUGUGCAGCACCUUCCGUCCACGCGGGACUCCACUGCCCUCCUGCUGGGGGGUCUCCAGCAGCUGUCAGUAGAUUUGGGUGCAUGGGUUCUCAUCCAAGGUCCCAUGAGGCUCCAUUGUUCUCUGAGAUUUGAUCCCGCAUUUGGCUCUGGGCCUUAUAUCUAAUACCUCUGAGAACAACAUCGCCUCGGCCCAGACAGAGGGCUCCGCUUCUCAAACCAGCAGAGGUUGGAAAUGGUCUUUCUCCUGCUUUUUGCCUUUAGUCCAGGACACUAGCACCACAUGGCGGCCCCCUGUCCUCUGCCCCAUGCAAUAGCCCCUUCCCUGCCUCUGCUUCCAGAUGCCUCGAGAAGUGAUAACUUCCUGGCAGCCAAUUCAAGUGUGACAACGUUGUUUAGGAAAGAGCACUGUUUUCCUCUUUCAAGAAGUGGCACGUCUGCAUUUACUAAUAAUCCCAGUCAAUAGCCAUUGAGCACCUAUUGCACGUCUACUAUAUAUACUUUCUCACCGAAUUCUUGAAACAUCUCUUUGAAUUACAUAUUUCUUCUCCCAUUUAAUAGAUGAGGAAGCUAAGGCCCAUAGAAAGUAAGUAACCUGCCCAAAGACACACAGUAAAUCAGAGAGGAGCAUUUGGACGGCCUCUCCCCGGGACACCACACUGCCUACAAGAGGCCGCAGAGUGAAACCACCGGACCGGAGGACCCAGCAACAAUCCGGGACUAUUUCCAAACCCUGUGCAAGCUGACACUAGACAAACUUGGCAAGUAAGCCAAGAGGUCCUCACAUGCCAAGCACAGUGGAUGUUUCUUAGAUGGCUUUGUGUCCUUUGUAUUCAUUAUCAGCAAGAAACUCAACUGCACAGGCCAGAAUACUUCAUUCUAAUGUAGAUCUUUUAAUUUUUUUUAAAGAUUUUAUUUAUUCAUGAGAGAGAGAGGCAGAGACACAGGCAGAGGGAGAAGCAGGGUCUAUGCAGGAGCCCAAGGUGGGACUGGAUCCCACCUCUCCAGGAUCACGCCCUGGGCCAAAGGCAGGCGCCAAACCGCUGACCCACCCAGGGAUCCCAAUGUAGAUCUUAUAAUCACUUCAUGUCAACACAGCAACAGAUAUGGCCAGAGAGAGACCAUAAGCCAGAAAGAAUGUGCUGGAAAGCUUCAGAACAGUUCACUGGGGAUCAAAACCUCAUUGAGCUACAAGAGGCCUCUUGUAUUAAAACCUCUGGGCUUGGGCCCCUGAGUAGCUCAGUGGUAGAGCGUCUGCCUUUGGCUCACAUCGUGAUCCUGGGGUCCUGGUUUCCAGUCCUGCAUCAUACUCCCUGCAAGGAGCCUGCUUCUCCCUCUACCUGUGUCUCUGUCUCUGUCUCUCUCUCUGUGUCUCUCAUGAAUAAAUAAAAUCUUAAAAAAAAGAAAACCACACACACAACAAAAACCUCUGGGUUUUUGGGUAACAGGAGAAGAUUAGUGGAGUUCUAAAUACAAAGAAAGUAUGCAGAGAAAGGGUGGGGCCAGGUGAGGGUGGCAAUGAGCUGGAUCAGGCCGGAGCCGGGCAGGUUACAGGCUGGGCCCCAGGACACUGGGGAUGGCCUUGUGUGGCUCACGAGGUCUGGCCUAGAGCAGGGGAGAAGCCGGGAUCCCCGGGCACCGCGGUGGUGCUGGGGGUGUGGUCCAGGAGGUGCCGACCCUGUGGAGCAUCGGGGCUUGGGGACUGCCCCAGAGUGGGGGCCGAGAGGGCUGGGUCUCACCGGGCAACGUGGGAUUCCAGGCCGACCCCAGCCCGGCUGAGGAGAGCCCGUUAAACCGGAAGCCGAGGUCACGCGCUCUUGCCAACGUGCGUGGGGGGGAAGGAAGGGGGGAAGGAAGGAAGGAAGGCUUCGCAGCACAGAGGGGUCAGGCCACACCUCCGAUCCAGCCUGGGAGACCAGCCCCCCCCCCCCCAGCUGCUGGCUCGGGAAGCUUCUCACGCUGGGCCUGCGUCUCGCGCUGGGCCCCCGGAAGUUGAGGCGAGGCCCUUGGUGCACUAGCGGGGGUGGCUGAGCCCAGUCGUCCGCUGGUCCGGGGAGCUCAGCCCGUUCACCGCAGAAGGUGCAGUAACCCCUUUACUCGGGAGGGGGUGCAGCCCGGAGAAGGACGGGAGAGGGGCCUGGAGGCAUCGUCUGGUUUCGGUCACAUGAGUAAGACGUUCAUAACGUGAAACUUUUUGAAGUGAGCGACUCAGUGGCAGCGAGUGAGCGCAUUUACAGCGCUGUGCGACCGCCACCUCUAAGUAGUUCCAAAACAUUUUCAUUGCCCCAAAAGGAACCCAUUAAAGGGGUUCACAUCCAUUAAAGGGUGGAGGCUGUGUGACCCGCUAGUCCGGCUUCUGCGCUUACAUAGCGCGUUUGCGGAUCCUGGAUCCUGCGCGGUGUGACCUGUGUCCGGGCUCCUCGCGGCGGAGUAAUGUGCCCUGGACUGGAGUUGCUGGGUCAGAUGGCAAUCCUGUGUCUCACUUCCUGAGAAACCAUCAAACCAUUUCCCCAUUGGUUGCACCAUUUCACAUUCCCCCAGCACUGUAUACGGGUUUCAGUUUCUCCGUGUCCUGGCUAGCGCUUGCGAUUUUUUCUGUAUCUUUUUUUUUUAAUAUUUUUUAAAAAAAUUAUGAAGUUGUACCAUGGCUGAUUUUUCAAAGCGAAUUAACUUAAUAUUUAAAGAAAAUAUUAAGAAAAUAAUAGCAUGGCAUAUAUGGAUAGGGCAGGUAAGACUGGCAAACCCAAAGCCUGCAGUUUGGAGGCAGGAAAACAGAUGUAGGCCAGUGUGUCACUUUUCUCUGGCCCACACUACCUCCCCUCCAGCAACCCAAGCCAAACCCAAACCUGACUACAGGAGGCCGGCAAACAUCCUCUAUCUCCUUCAUAAAGGUGAGCUCAGGAUGAGGCAAAUCUCUUCCAGGUCAGAGGGCCUUCCUUGGGUCUCCCAUCUUCUUGCUGCAGAGCCCAAACCACCUCUGGAGGCCCUACUGUGGUCCUGUGCACCAGAACGCCCAGAUUUGGAUCACCAGAGCCCCCAGGCCAGGUCUGUGGGCUACCUGACCUCUCCCCAUGAUUUUGGUUUUUAACUUCAUAUUAAAGUAUAAAGUAUGGGAGUUUUAAGCCUGCA